CAGCCGCGGUAAUACGUAGGGUGCAAGCGUUGUCCGGAAUUACUGGGCGUAAAGCGUGCGUAGGCGGUUCGUUAAGUCGAUUGUGAAAGCCCUGGGCUUAACCUGGGAAUUGCAGUCGAUACUGGCGGACUAGAGAACGGUAGAGGGAGGCGGAACUCCAGGUGUAGCGGUGAAAUGCGUAGAUAUCUGGAAGAACACCGAUGGCGAAGGCAACCUCCUGGGCCUGUUCUGACGCUGAGGCACGAAAGCGUGGGUAGCAAACAGGAUUAGAUACCCUGGUAGUCCACGCUGUAAACGAUGAGAACUUGACGUCGGGUCGCUUAGCGAUUCGGUGUCGAAGCUAACGCAUUAAGCGCCCCGCCUGGGGAGU
rnacentral:rRNA from 1 species